rnacentral:rRNA from 1 species
UACGGGGGGGAGCAAGCGUUGUUCGGAUUUACUGGGCGUAAAGGGCGCGUAGGCGGCGUGACAAGUCACUUGUGAAAUCUCCGGGCUUAACCCGGAACGGUCAAGUGAUACUGUCGUGCUAGAGUACAGAAGGGGCAACUGGAAUUCUCGGUGUAGCGGUGAAAUGCGUAGAUAUCGAGAGGAACACCUGCGGCGAAGGCGGGUUGCUGGGCUGAUACUGACGCUGAGGCGCGAAAGCCAGGGGAGCGAACGGG